UUCUCCAGCAACAGGCCUCUGAUUCAUCAGAAAGGAAAGGCAGAAGGCAGGUGAUAUUUUGCCAUAGUUCUUUCUCAUUCAAGAUCCAGUGGAACUAUUCCUGAUCAAUGUCAUUAUAAUUCUAGCAACAGAGUGAAUGAGGUGUUUCCCCCAUUUCCUCCUUUCCUCUCCUGCUUCUCAAGUCAUUCUGAAGCAUACGGGCAGAAUCAAAUCAAGACAGAAUGCGGCCACUGAUGAGAACUCUUGCUGACAGUCGAUGAUUAACUCUCCAUUUUUUGAGGCUCACUUUCAUCUUUAUUCUUACAAGGAAAAGAGAGAGCGAGAAUAAUGAGACCAGCAUGAGGAAUUGUUCCAGCUGCCCUUGGUAGAACGCACUGGCAAAGGAUGGCACAUAUCAACUUGGAUUUCUCAGUAUACCCAUAUGAAAGGAAAUGGAUUACACCCGUCGUUUCUCUCUGCACCCCCAUCUCCCACCUUGUAUUUUCUAACAAAAGAGCAAAUCGCCUCCAACUCUUAGUUCAACGGAAUUCAUGA